rnacentral:lncRNA from 1 species
UUGGCAUGGACUUAAUGGUGCCACGAGCCUCUUGUAAAUGGUUCCUUCUUAUGCGAUCAACAGGGGAAGGACUCCUGUGUACGCAAAAAGAUGUCUUUAGUUUCAGAGAUUCAUGUUUAUUGUAAUACAAAAAGAACAUUUAAGAGGCUGUGAGAUUUGAGAUUCUCCUAUUGAUGCUUUGAUACAAUUCGUGUGCAUUUUACUCCCGAUGACAAUUUUGCUCACCCCCACCCCACCCUAGUAGAUAUGCCAACAAUACUGGCCAGUAGUAUUAACUGUGCAUUGCAAUUACAGCAUCCAGCCACAAUGCAUAGUUUAUUCAUGAUGCAUCAUUAUAAUUCAAGGAUUUUAUGAGCGAGGACAACAGACUGAGGGCCCCCUGCAAUGAAUGGCAGAGAAGAUUCUGUCAUACGACGUUACUUAUUUAUCUUUUUCUGUGGUAGGAUGAUUUCUUUUACUUAAACUAAGAUGGAAGUUAUCAUUGUUCUUAUUUAAAAGGUUGCCUGGUCUGAGUCCUGUGAGCAUACGUGCCUGUUGUGUGCUUUGGGGGUGGGGGACACACAGCCCCGAGUUCAGGCAUAGCCAUCAGUCUGCCAAGGGAACUGUAAAGAGAAGAAAACAUAGCAACAAAUGAUCUGCCUAUACUGUGUGGUUUCAAGGAUUCCUUAUGCACCCAGAAGCCUUCUGCCUUGAUCCUGUGCACCCCGCAGACCUGCAGCUGCAGAGGCUUUUAGAACAGCCUGUCUUGAAGCCAGUGAGACUUGAAGACUGUGAAAACAGAAAUGGACGUCAGUUUGUAGGUUGGGACCUCACUGGGUGCUGUGGCUGGAUGGCACGUGGAGCAUCCUGAGCUGAACGUGGAAUCUAUCCAACUACUGGAAAGGAGUACCUGUUUUUGAAUUUCUUGCUGCAAAAUUGCUUGCUUUUCCUUUUUCCUUAAGUUCAGUGCUUCAGUGAUAAGACACGAGCAGCCCUACUGCACGAAACUGGCCAGAAGUAACAGCAGGCUCAUGAAUAGUGUUUGAUUAACAAAUCGGUGUAGAUGCACAUUUGAGAAACGUAUCGAUUAGUGAUCACGAGAAGUCUGAUUUCUACUUUAUUUUAAUGGCAAACAUAAUAAAGACUCUUUAAACAUGCUUGAAUGCUUCGCACUGUUGUAUGUACACCUUAAUACAACUUCUGUGUUUUUCAGUUAUGACUUUCUUCACUUCUCCUGAAGCACAGACAGUCGGGGCCAUCCGAGGUAAGGAUGUGCCCACU